UCGAGUUGUUUGGGAAUGCUGCUCAAAAUGGGAGGUAAACCCCUUCUAAAGCUAAAUAUUGGCCAGAGACCGAUAGCGCACAAGUAGAGUGAUCGAAAGAUGAAAAGCACUUUGAAAAGAGAGUUAAACAGCACGUGAAAUUGUUGAAAGGGAAGCGCUUGCGACCAGACUUGCGCCCGUCGGAUCAACCGUCCCUCGUGGGCGGCGCACUCCGGCGGGCUCAGGCCAGCAUCAGUUUUCCUGGGGGUAGAAAGGCGGUGGGAAUGUAGCUCUUCGGAGUGUUAUAGCCCGCCGCGUAAUGCCCUCGGGGGGACUGAGGACCGCGCGUAUGCAAGGAUGCUGGCGUAAUGGUCGUCAGCNACCCGUCUUGAAACAC
rnacentral:rRNA from 1 species